rnacentral:rRNA from 1 species
UACGUAGGGUGCAAGCGUUGUCCGGAAUUAUUGGGCGUAAAGAGCUCGUAGGCGGCUUGUCACGUCGGCUGUGAAAACCUGGGGCUCAACCCCGGGCCUGCAGCCGAUACGGGCAAGCUAGAAUUCGGUAGGGGAGACUGGAAUUCCUGGUGUAGCGGUGAAAUGCGCAGAUAUCAGGAGGAACACCGGUGGCGAAGGCGGGUCUCUGGGCCGAUAUUGACGCUGAGGAGCGAAAGCGUGGGGAGCGAACAGG